rnacentral:rRNA from 1 species
GAGUUUGAUCGUGGCUCAGGAUGAACGCUGGCGGCGUGCCUAAUACAUGCAAGUCGAGCGAACGGACGAGAAGCUUGCUUCUCUGAUGUUAGCGGCGGACGGGUGAGUAACACGUGGAUAACCUACCUAUAAGACUGGGAUAACUUCGGGAAACCGGAGCUAAUACCGGAUAAUAUUUUGAACCGCAUGGUUCAAAAGUGAAAGACGGUCUUGCUGUCACUUAUAGAUGGAUCCGCGCUGCAUUAGCUAGUUGGUAAGGUAACGGCUUACCAAGGCAACGAUGCAUAGCGACCUGAGAGGGUGAUCGGCCACACUGGAACUGAGACACGGUCCAGACUCCUACGGGAGGCAGCAGUAGGGAAUCUUCCGCAAUGGGCGAAAGCCUGACGGAGCAACGCCGCGUGAGUGAUGAAGGUCUUCGGAUCGUAAAACUCUGUUAUUAGGGAAGAACAUAUGUGUAAGUAACUGUGCACAUCUUGACGGUACCUAA